CCACGGACCUGUAGGCGGAGGCAUGAAUGCUAACAUGAGGGGUGUGUUUCUACAUGUUUUGGCAGACACACUUGGCAGUAUUGGUGUGAUUGUAUCCACAAUUCUUAUAGAACAGUUUGGAUGGUUCAUUGCUGAUCCCCUCUGUUCUCUUUUUAUUGCUAUAUUAAUAUUUCUCAGUGUUAUUCCACUGAUUAAAGAUGCCUGUCAGAUUCUACUUUUGAGACUACCACCAGAAUAUGAAAAAGAACUACAUCUUGCUUUAGAAAAGGUAC